AUUGAACGCUGGCGGCAUGCUUUACACAUGCAAGUCGAACGGCAGCACGGGCUUCGGCCUGGUGGCGAGUGGCGAACGGGUGAGUAAUGCGUCGGAACGUGCCGAGUAAUGGGGGAUAACGCUUCGAAAGGAGUGCUAAUACCGCAUACGCUCUGAGGAGGAAAGCGGGGGGACCUUCGGGCCUCGCGUUAUUCGAGCGGCCGACGUCUGAUUAGCUAGUUGGUGAGGUAAAGGCUCACCAAGGCGACGAUCAGUAGCGGGUCUGAGAGGAUGAUCCGCCACACUGGGACUGAGACACGGCCCAGACUCCUACGGGAGGCAGCAGUGGGGAAUUUUGGACAAUGGGGGAAACCCUGAUCCAGCCAUGCCGCGUGUCUGAAGAAGGCCUCGG
rnacentral:rRNA from 1 species